rnacentral:lncRNA from 1 species
AAAAACUUUGCAACUGCAGAUAGAAAAGAAAAAAGGGCCUCCCAUUUCAUUUUCUCUGUUAGGGUUUUAAAACCCUUUUUAGCCGCCACCGCUAAUGGUGGUCGGAGACGCGCCAUCUUUCAAGCGGAUCCGAAGGCAAAGGUAACCCCUUUUUUUUUAUCUUCUUGUUGAAAGGGAAAUAAAACAAAAUAAAUAAAAAAAAGAAAAAGAAAGAGGAAAGAGGAAAGAUUGAAAUCAAAAACAGGAAAUCACCUUGUUUUUUUUCUGCUUUUUAUUUCUUUUUUUCUUAAUGUUUUCUUUCUUUUUUUUAUAAAAAAUCGGGACUCCCGAUUACAGUGAUGAAGCCCCCCUUUACAUUGUUUUUUUUCGUGGUUUUUAUAGCCACGGUUACUGUUAAUCUAUGCUACAGUCUUCUCCUGCUAUUUUUGCCUUUUUUCUUGCUUCUGUUUCUGUCCUUUUUGCAGGUAAGAUGAAGUCAACGAGAGGAGUCUUUGCCAUUUCGGUGUAAGGUGGUCAGUCCUCGGGUGUUGGGCGCGCUGUGGAGGCACGUGGGCAGCAAAGUGAACGGCGCAUUAGGGUUAGGGUUUCAAAUUUUUUACUGAAACAAGUUAAGGUUUUGGGCCUAUUGGGCCCUGGGUCAUGGGUUUGUAAUUUGGGUUGUAGUUUUGGGCCUGGGCAUAAAUUGGGUCUUACAAUAAUAAUAAUAAUAAUAAUAAUAAUAAUAAUAAUAUGAAUGGUUUUUUUAUAUAAAUCGAAUCAACAUAACAAAUUAUGAAAUAUAUGAGAUAAUUUAAGACAUAACACAAACAGAAAAAUUACUUUUUGAAAUAAUUGAAUUGUUGUGAAAAAUUAUAUAAAAUAUAAUACAAUACGAAUAUAACAUAAAAAUCAUUUAAACACAAAC